rnacentral:rRNA from 1 species
UGGGGGAUAUUGCACAAUGGGGGGAACCCUGAUGCAGCGACGCCGCGUGGGUGAAGAAGCGCCUCGGCGCGUAAAGCCCUGUCAGCAGGGAAGAAAAUGACGGUACCUGAAGAAGAAGCCCCGGNUAACUACGUGCCAGCAGCCGNGGUAAUCUCUCUCU